GCAUUGAAUUUCCCAUUCAUUUUAAUCACAAUAAAAUUGCAUGGUAAGAGCUUGCUUCAAAUACUUCAUUUGCAAAGUGGAGGAUUAUGCAAGAAUCAUUAAUAACAAGUGAAACUUACAUAAAAUAAAAGAUCAACGGAAAAACAGGUAUAUAUAUAUUAACUAAUUAUAAUUGAUAAUUAACAACACCCUUCAUUGUUUUAUUUCAUUGGCAUUCAUUACAACACUUAAAUAUAUAUUAUAGAUAUUACCUAAAAGGAAGAAGAAAAAACCCCAUAUAAUUAUGUAAUGGGAAAAUAAAGAGACCCAGCAGAGGUUGCUCCAUUAACGCUGGAAGAUACAUAUAUUUAACAAGCCCCUAACUUACCAACUCGAACCGCAUAAAAAUUAGCUUCAGGGCAGCCACAGCCAUAGGUCACACCAUUGACUCCGCAAACUGGGUCGUAGCGCAAGCAUCUGAUAGCACUGCAAUCUUUUCCUGGAGAGGCGGACUUUGCCAGGUCACACAGGUUGGGUACCUGCACCUUGGAUUCCACCAUGGUCAAACAAACACCCAACACCACAACCAUCAUCAUGAAAAGAAUACAUGCUUUUUUCAAACUGGCCAUAGUCGAAGCUUUCUUUUUUCUUGCGAAAGCAAGGACUGGAGUUUUAAUAUGUUAGAUGAUACAGAAAAUGAAUCAUCCAUGGAUGUUUAUAUAAGACCCAAGUCAAAGGGAUCAAAUAUUACACGGAAUUGACUAAGGAGAUGGAGAUGGAGACGAGAUCCUUUGUAUCCGCGGCCAAUCUUACAUUCUAUGGGCUCUUUGAUCCUCGAGCGCAGCUUUUGGCUAAUGAAAUAAAAGCAAAGCAAAUCUCAAUUAUAUAUGUUAUUCACGUGGAGAAGGAUAUGGGCAAUGUAUUUUUCCACUUCUAUCUAUC
rnacentral:lncRNA from 1 species